CUCCCUGUGGCUCAGUUGGUAGAGCAUGGUGUUUGCAACGCCAGCAGGGUGUGUGCAACGCCAGGGUUGUGGGUUCGAUUCCCACGGGGGGC
rfam:Salmo salar isolate Sally breed double haploid chromosome ssa06, whole genome shotgun sequence.